rnacentral:rRNA from 1 species
CGCUGGCGGCGUGCCUAAUACAUGCAAGUCGAACGGCUUUUCUAUGGAAGCUUGCUUCCACUGAGAAGAUAGUGGCGAACGGGUGAGUAACACGUGGGUAACCUGCCCAUAAGAGGGGGAUAACAUCCGGAAACGGGUGCUAAUACCGCAUAGUUUUCUUGAUCGCAUGAUUGAGAAAGGAAAGAUGGCCUUUGUGCUGUCGCUUAUGGAUGGACCCGCGGCGUAUUAGUUAGUUGGUGAGGUAACGGCUCACCAAGACGAUGAUACGUAGCCGACCUGAGAGGUGAUCGGCCACAUUGGGACUGAGACACGGCCCAAACUCCUACGGGAGGCAGCAGUAGGGAAUCUUCCGCAAUGGACGAAAGUCUGACGGAGCAACGCCGCGUGAGUGAAAGAAGGUUUUCGGAUCGUAAAACUCUGUUGUCAGAGAAGAACAAGUUGGAGAGUAACUGCUCCAGCCUUGACGGUAUCUGACCAGAAAGCCACGGCUAACUACGUGCCAGCCGCCGC